GCAUUAGUAGUUUAGUGGUAGAAUACUCACCUUCAUUAGCAACGAGUGACCCAGGUUCGACUCCUGGCCGAUGCA
rnacentral:tRNA from 1 species